rnacentral:rRNA from 1 species
GACGAACGCUGGCGGCGUGCUUAACACAUGCAAGUCGAACGGAAAGGCCCUGCUUUUGUGGGGUGCUCGAGUGGCGAACGGGUGAGUAACACGUGAGUAACCUGCCCUUGACUUUGGGAUAACUUCAGGAAACUGGGGCUAAUACCGGAUAGGAGCUCCUGCUGCAUGGUGGGGGUUGGAAAGUUUCGGCGGUUGGGGAUGGACUCGCGGCUUAUCAGCUUGUUGGUGGGGUAGUGGCUUACCAAGGCUUUGACGGGUAGCCGGCCUGAGAGGGUGACCGGCCACAUUGGGACUGAGAUACGGCCCAGACUCCUACGGGAGGCAGCGGUGGGGAUUAUUGCACAAUGGGCGGAAGCCUGAUGCAGCAACGCCGCGUGCGGGAUGACGGCCUUCGGGUUGUAAACCGCUUUCGCCUGUGACGAAGCGUGAGUGACGGUAAUGGGUAAAGAAGCACCGGCUAACUACGU